rnacentral:lncRNA from 1 species
AAGAGCAGUAGUAAUCUCGACGACCUUCACCUCUCGAGUUGUCAAUCCCCCUCUUCGGCGGCUGAUAAGAGAGAAGGAGAGAUACUCAGCAAAGCUAACGUUAAGAGCUUCACCUUCAACGAACUCAAACUCGCAACCAGAAACUUCAGACCAGACUCUGUUGUCGGAGAAGGCGGUUUUGGUUCUGUCUAUAGAGGUUGGAUCGAUCAGACAACUUUUGCCCCAACUAAAUCGAGCUCCGGUCUUUUAGUUGCUGUCAAGAGUCUUAACCCUGAUGGCUUUCAAGGUCACCGAGAAUGGCUGGUACACACAUAUGGUCUCUUCUAUUUUUUUUGAUUCUCUAAUCUUACUCUAUUUUAAAGAAAAUAAAAAAUAAAAAGAUAAAAAGAUAAAAUAAAUAAGACUAUGUUUUGUUGUGAGUUCAGACAGAGAUCAACUACUUGGGUCAGUUAAGUCACCCGAACUUAGUUAAACUGAUUGGUUAUUGCUUGGAAGAUGAACAUAGGCUUCUUGUGUAUGAGUUUAUGCACAAGGGUAGUCUUGAGGAUCAUCUCUUCACAAGUAAGUCAUUAACCAAACAUUUUUAUUGAAAAAUAUUAGGAGAUUGUUUUUCUUAUGUUUGAAUGUUUUUUUUUUGAAGCAGAUGAUGUGAAGUGUAAGCCACUCUCUUGGUUAUUACGGGUUAAGGUUGCGCUUGAUGCAGCUAAAGGGCUUGCGUUUCUUCAUAGUGGCCCUGUUAAAGUUAUUUACCGAGAUAUCAAGGCCUCGAACAUCUUGCUCGACUCGGUAUACGCUCUUUUCAAAGUCUCAUUGUUGUCUUGAUGGGUUAUAAAAGUACUGACUUGGUUCUGUUUUAUGACAACAGGACUUCAAUGGAAAGCUUUCUGACUUUGGGUUAGCGAGAGACGGUCCAAUGGGAGAAAAAAGCUAUGUUAGUACAAGGGUCAUGGGUACAUUUGGCUAUGCCGCUCCUGAGUAUGUGUCAACAGGUACAUUCUAUCAAUGUUCUUAUAUAUAAAAUGUUACUGAGAUAUGAUGCAAUUAAUAUUUUAAAUCUUGUUUCAUCCUCUUAUGUAGUUCUUCGUCGGAGGCAACUGGAAAUGCGUAAGCUAUCUUCUCUCCGCCCUAAUCUUAUUUUGUGUAUUUCUUUAGUAUCUCGUCGCGAAUCUGUUUGUUUCUUCGCCGAUCUUAAAAUCGUGUUUAAGGUUUUGUUCAUCGCUUGGCUCGAUUGAUUUUUGAAAUUUGAGAUCCUUGCUAUGUGAAUCUGAUUCCGAUGGUUGAGAUUUGUUGAUUCGAUACUUUUGAUCCAAUCUGAGCAUGGAAGCUGUUGGCUAUUAAAUGUUUUAAUCAUGUUGAGAUUGAUAUUGUGUCUCGCGGCUAGGAUUUGGAUUAGAGAGAGAUUCUUAUGAUGGCUAUGUUGUGAAUUUUUGAAUGAAAUGUAGAACGGAACUGCUGAGGAGGUGAAGAAGAUUGUCAACACUCUUAACGAAGCUCAAGUUCCUUCCCAGGAUGUCGUUGGUAUGUUCAGCAUCUCAUUUUACUUUUGAUAGAAUCAUUGAAAUAUAAGGUUAUCUGCUUUUGGUUUUGCAUGUCUAUAAACCUCUGAUCUUGAACAUGACUCGUUAAUAACUAAUUAGAAGAGUUUAUGAAUUGCUUUUAUGCUUUAAAAAACGUAUUUCUCACAUGAAUUUGGGAAUGCGAAAGAUUAUAUAUGCAUGUAUGUUCAAAUCUGUCAAGUAGUUGUUAUUGGCUAAUUUUGUUUUUUCAUAUAUGCAAAUAUGCUUUGGUUUUUAUGUGAUAUUUAAAGCAAUAACUCUAUCCUUGUUAUUGGGGUAAUAACUUACUGGAAGCUUUUCAAAAUGCAGAGGUUGUGGUUAGCCCUCCCUAUGUGUUCCUUCCUCUGGUUAAGAGCAUAUUGAGGCCUGACUUCCAUGUUGCGGCACAGAAUUGCUGGGUCAAGAAAGGAGGUGCCUUCACUGGUGAAGUUAGGUGAGAUUCUCUAGCCACUGAUUUCCACUACAAACUCUUCUUUUUUUAAAAAAAUUACUAUUGGGUUUAUGUGAAAUAUAUUUGGUUUUUUGAAGUUGCAUUAGAUUGUGUUGAAGUUGCUCUUCUUUGUCUUGCUUCAUGUUGUAUCUUGUCUCUUAUGCCUUCUGUACUUUGUGUGUGCAGUGCUGAGAUGCUUGUGAACUUGGACAUCCCAUGGGUUAUCCUUGGUCACUCUGAAAGGAGGGCACUCCUCAAUGAAUCAAACGAGGCUGGUGGUCUUUCGUGACUGCCAUUUGGAUUGUAGUGGCUAUGAUUUUGAUAUUUUACUUCUAUCCUUCAUUUGUAGUUUGUUGGAGACAAGGUUGCCUAUGCUCUUGCUCAAGGUUUGAAAGUGAUUGCUUGUGUGGGUGAGACUCUUGAGCAGCGGGAGGCAGGGUCGACCAUGGAUGUUGUGGCUGCCCAGACCAAAGCUAUUGCUGGUAUUUAUAUUGUCAAACACUCUCCUUGUCACUAUUUUAGUUAUAGUUCUCUUUGACACUAGUGGCCUGUUACUGUGAUAUUAGUUAUCGUUUCUACUCGCUCUAAGUGUAUAACUGCUUUAGUAAGGCAGUAUACAUGGUGACUUUGUCUUAUCUGUUAGUGUUUAUCUCCUAACUGUAAAGAAAUACUUUAGUGAGGCAGUACAUGGUGACUUUUUUUCUAACAUAGAACUUCCUUUUGUUGGUAAUCACAGAUCGAGUGUCGAACUGGUCAAAUGUUGUCAUAGCCUAUGAGCCAGUGUGGGCCAUUGGAACCGGAAAGGUCGCUAGCCCCGCCCAAGCUCAGGAAGUAAGUUUAUUAUCGAAGCAUUGUUUCUUAUCGUCAUGACUUUAUAUGAAUACCAAUAUUCUUUUUUGAUGAUGGACACAGGUACAUGAUGAGCUAAGGAAGUGGCUUGCAAAGAACGUGAGCGCUGAUGUCGCUGCUACAACCCGCAUCAUCUAUGGAGGUAAAGAAUAAUACAAUACUUUGAUUUUAACCAAAUGCCUCCACAAAGUCUCUUUGAUUCUAAGCUUGAUUAAGUAAAUAAACUUUCAGGAUCUGUCAAUGGUGGUAACUGCAAGGAGCUAGGUGGUCAAGCCGAUGUUGAUGGUUUCUUGGUCGGUGGUGCUUCUCUAAAGGUACAUUAUAUUGUGUUUUUUCUUUAGUUUGUUUCAAUCAAAACCAUUAUCUAAUGUGUUUUCUUCUUCUUUCAAUUGCUGCUUUUGCAGCCUGAGUUUAUCGACAUCAUUAAGGCUGCUGAGGUGAAGAAAAGCGCUUGAUGAAUUUCACUAAACAAUCUCAAAUCUUCAGUCUCAACUCUGAUAAAAAAGAAUUAAUAAGUUGAUACAGUAUCAGUUUGAUACUCUUUGCUUCUGUUUUAUGUUGUCUUGAGGAGGCAACAAAACAUUUUCUUCGCCAAUUUAUUUAGCUGUCAACUUAUAAAAUCUCUCCCUUGAUUAAUAUUCUAAGUGAAAUGUUUGGUGUUCAUAAACUGGCAUUUCGUAUUUCAUUUUUUAAAAAGAAGAAAAUAGAAUAGGCCAGAAAGUAUUUGGGCCAACAAGCUCAAGCCCAUUGUAAUUGAUGUUGGCCCGAAAUACAAAUGUCCCGGCUUUCGCUUCUACUAAAACAUUUUUCAAUGAUCAUAUUCAUACUAAUCAAAAAAUUCAUACCAAUCAAUCCUUAUGUUCACUGCGGCAGUUAAAACAUAGCAGUACAAGUAUAACUACUUUUUUACUCUACUGGUGCUAUCUCUGCAUGGUUACCGUUUAAUAGUAAAAAGGACUGCUUUACCGUUUUUUAAUAAUCAGUUAGAUUGAUUAUAUCUCUUCUUUUUUUUAAGAACGUAGAUCUGAUGUCAUUUGUUCCACUUCCACUAGUAUAUUUUUUUUUUUGGUAAAAACUUCCACUAGUAUUUUGUUAGGGUUAACUUGAUGAAUGACCAUAUUGAGAAAAAUGUAGAUUUGUAGUAAGAGAUUUGAGAGAGAUAAGAAGAGAUAGGAGUAGAGAGGAGAUGAUAUGGUUAGUUGUUGAAAUAUAGUUUCAUUCUUGGUUAUAGGAUCAAAUUUCCCAUUUUGUUAUACAUAUUUUUUUUUGAAGAAAUUAUUUUGUGAUGUUUUGAUCUCUGAGUAAUGGUGUCAGCCACUUUUUAAAAGUAUAAUACUUUUUGAAUGAUGAACUCACGGAAAUUUGGCAAUGUAAGUUGUCAACGAGUGAGUGUUUCUUAAUUUUGAUUAUUUAUUCAUUUUGAUUAUUUAUUCAUUGCUUUUUUGCUUACGGAAUAUUGUUGUUUUAUCAGGCACCAUUAAAAACGUUGGGAAAAUCAUGGAGAAAAUAAGAGAUCAUGUUCCCAUGAGUGUCAUUUUUUGGUUGUAGUCUUGUAGAGAAUAAUUAACUAUACUUAAGCUAAUAAUUAAGCAAAUUGAUUAAGUAGCAUUGACAGAUAAGUCCAAAAUAAGAGCUCCGAAUGUCGAAAUAGUUCAAAAUCUUCUUUUCUUUUGUUCAACCAAAAUAUACAAUUCAAAAUCUUAGUAUUCAAAUACUGAAGUCAAUGUAAUGAAUAUGAGUAUGAAUUUUGACUGACCACUCAAAAAUCCAACUAAAUGCUGUAACACAACACAACAAAGACUUAUAAAAUAGCACAAUACGUGAUUCACAGCACACAAACGUGGUUACAUUCUAUAUUCCAAGUCAACCCAUACGUCUAGAGAUGCUCGUUAAUAGUUUAAUAUUAAUAUUUUUCCGCUGUGUUUCCACUUCUCGUGAUGUAAUUCUUGUAACUUGCAAGAAUGAAUGAAUGAUAUGGAUUAAGAUAUUUUUGAGUAGUUAUAUUAUUUAUUUGACUUUGAACUUAUUUGCGUAAGGAACAGACAAUUGUGACCGUAGAAACUAGAAAGGGAGAUUUGACGAAGUCGUUGUAUUUUGGAGAGUUUUGCAGUCCGAUCUGUAGGUAUUGUGAAUCAUAAUACCUCGACCAACCAUUUUGUAUAGGUCCUCUACGUUCAAGGUCAUGUUUGUUUAAAAAUCAUGUCAUUAAGCUAUUUCUACUAUCUAUCCAUGGUUUAACUUGUUAGUUGUUACCACCUAUAUUUACAUGGAAUUGUAACUUCAAAUCAAUCGGUAAUAAUUAGUAUCGUAACUUCAAAUCAAAUCGGUAAUAAUUUAGUUUUCUUACUAAUAUCGGAAUUCUUUCAUUCGUUAACAGUAGCUAGCGUCUUGCUAACAGAUAACAUCAUUCUAAAGGAAAAUUAAAGGGUAUACAAAAUUUCAGAGGAUGUUAUUUAGUAAAUAAACCAACUUAGAGAGAGAGAUGAAUAAACUCUUUCACAUUACUUUUUUGUCAUUUUGACAUUUAUGUAUUUAACCUCGGUCCAUUUCUUCUAAUACAAUGCUUAGUAACUAGUAUUAUUAACAAACAAAUAACUAGGAGAAAAUAAACAUUUUCUAACCUACUAGUAUUAUACAAAAAGUUUGAUAUUUUCUUACAGAUCUUACUUUCGUAAGUUCUUGUACAAACCUUAAUACUGUAUGUCUGUACAGGCAAAGCAUAUAAAUCGAAAAUGACAUGACUAUCUCUUUUUCGAGCAACUGACAUGACUAUCUAACAUUAUCGAAAAAACUAAAAUACAAUUUUGGAUCCAGCCCCACCACGACGAAUUCAGACCGGCAAAGAUUCCAAAAUCUCAUGACCAUCUGAGUCAGGUCUGCACUUCAAAUCGGACUUAUAUACUUGCAUAUCUUUUAAAGAUAUUGCGUACGUUAAGCUACUAUAUUAAGCUAUUUACAUUGAAGAAUUAAAACAAUCUAUAAAAAGUAAAACCAAACCAGAGAAAAGUAACACCAUUUAUUAAAUUAUUACAAAAUAAUGUGCCGUGUUGGUCAAAGAACUCCAUCUCCUUUUUUGAAUAAAAUAACCAAUUGAGUUAAUGCAUAUGUAUUCUUCUUCAUAUCCUUAGUUCUUUGGCUCUCUCUCUCUCUCUCUCUCCGAAUAAUCUGUUCUACACAAAACAACUCAAGAAGCCAUUUUUAUGGUCAGAAAGGGCAAAUCAAGCUUCUUUAAAAGCCUUAUUCUUCGUUUGCUUCCAUUCUCUACUAAUGGGUUCUUGCCUCAGCUCUCGUGUUGACCGUACGUUCUCUUCAUAACCUCCCUUUUUGUACAUUUUCCCGGAAAUUUUCGAGAUCUUUCAAGUGUCUCUCUAUUCGAUAUUUUCUCUGUUUAUUAAUGAUGGGUUUAUAGAAAAGAAAUGAAAUUUGCGUCAUCUAGAGUAAAAAGUUUCCACCUUUUUCAUUUGUCCUCAGUCUUGACUUUGGUCAACGCUCUGUUUGUGUGUUUCUGCAGAUAAGAGCAGUAGUAAUCUCGACGACCUUCACCUCUCGAGUUGUCAAUCCCCCUCUUCGGCGGCUGAUAAGAGAGAAGGAGAGAUACUCAGCAAAGCUAACGUUAAGAGCUUCACCUUCAACGAACUCAAACUCGCAACCAGAAACUUCAGACCAGACUCUGUUGUCGGAGAAGGCGGUUUUGGUUCUGUCUAUAGAGGUUGGAUCGAUCAGACAACUUUUGCCCCAACUAAAUCGAGCUCCG